CUUGAAAGUUGAGAGGGUGUCUGCCCCCCGAACCUCGAGCGGUAAAUGAUUCCAGAGGAGAGGUGCCUGGUAGCUGAAAGCUCUUCCUCCAAUACUACUUUUAGAGAUAUUUGGUACAACGAGCAGACCCGCAGACUGUGAGCGUAACGGUCUAGACGGAAAGUACGGUAUAACAUGCUCGUCGAGAUAUGAUGGAGCCUGGCCAUUAAAGGCUUUAUAUCUCACAAGGAGGAUUUUAAACUCAAUUCUAGAUUUAAUAGGGAGCCAAUGAAGAGAGGCUAAGGCAGGAGAGAUGUGCUCCCUUCUUCUGGUUCUGGUCAAUACCCGAGCUGCUGCAUUUUGGACCAGCUGAAGAGUCCUUAAAGACUUAUUGGAGCAGCCUGAUAAGAGAGAAUUACAGUAGUCCAGCCUAGAGGUAACAAAGGCAUGGACUAGUUUUUCUGCAUUACUCUGAGACAGGAUGGGUCUAAAAAAAAGCUAUUCUAGAGAUUUGUUGAAUGUGGGAGCUGAAGGACAAAUCCUGAUCAAAUAAAACUCCCAAAUUUCGCACAGUGGGGCUGGAUGCCAGACUGAGGAGGACAAGAACCCGAACAAGAACCGAGGACAAGAACUUCAGUUUUGUCUGAGUUAAGCAUCAGAAAGUUAUUGGUCAUCCUGGAUUUUAUAUCUUUUAGACAAGCUUCUAAUUUGGUAACCUGAUUUGUUUCUUCUGACUUCAUGGAUAAGUAUAACUGGGUGUCAUCUGCAUAACAGUGGAAAUUAAUCGAGUUCUUCAGUGUGCAUCUGGGUUUAAAAAUUAAAUCAGCAUGGCGUCCACCAUCAUUUGGUUCUAUAAUGUCCAUUCAAAACCAGGUGACAUGGAGAUUAUGUUCAUGUUUUUCACAGUCUAUGACCAAACCCAUUUCAAAAGUGUAUUUAAGAGCUAAACAGCUACUGAUCCAAAUAUUUACACAACAGAUUAAUCUGCCGAUUAUUUUGAUCAUCAAAUGCUGACAUGAUGUCAACAAAAUGAGAAUAUGUCAUGUAAAAAGAGUUCAACGGUGUCUCAGUAAUCAGAAUAUUUUUUUGACAAAUGGCUCCAUCGAUUGAUUGUCUAAAGAAAUGUCAUAUUUUCUAAUGACUAGCUGAAGCCAUUUUGCUGUGAUCUCAUUACAUUAUUUGCUUGCUGGGUGUGUGAACAGCAUCUUUGCAGCCAUUGUGUGUGUGUACCUUAAGCUACCCCAUAGCUGCCUUUAAGUUCACUCUUCACCUGCUUUGCUAUUUGCUCAAUGCAGAAGCAACUAUUUGUUGCUGGUAGUUUCUACAUUGAGCCACGAGCUAGGACUCAAAUCUUGCAACGAUAUCUUAUGUCUUUGAUUUUAUACCAAACACUCAGCUUUGACUGAGCUUUAAAUGGCUUUAAAUGGCGGGUGUACAGUCUUAGGUCUCAUACAGUAGUGAGAAAGUGUGGGCAUAUGAGUUUGUACAGCCUUAUUUUACACACAGAGAUGCUCACUACUAUCUCCUUACCUCAGCCUCCCAUGAGCCAAAAACAGCCUGAGACAUCACUAAACUUUCCAUCAUCUCAUGCAGAAAAAAACACAUUUAUUUUCUAAAUCCCUCAACACAACUCUCAGUGCCUCUGAUGAUGGUGUUGCCAUUUAUUAAUAAAUAUUAAAGCACACAGCACCAAAUGCAGCCAAGUGGUCCAGCUGCAGGGCAAGCAAAUAACAGUCUACUUUUUUAAUAUGCAAAAUGCAACGGAUGUUACCCAAUAAGUGGAUUGUGUCUGAUACUGUUAUAUCCAGAGUUUUAAAUAAUUGGUGAAGUUAUGCUGCAGUGGUUUGUGCAUAAAUGUUAAUCAGUUCUGCUGUAUAAAGUAACUGUUCUAGUGCAUAACACUCCAGUGAUAGAACAGCAUAGGAGAAUAAAUUUUAUGUGCUUGUGUAAGCCUGGUGUAGAAAGGUUGAAGUUUGCUGUGUGGCAAUGAGAGCAGAGACACUGAUUGGUUUGGUUUAUCUGCUGCCUAAGGGGGCUUUCACACCUACAUCGUUUGGUCUGGACUUUUGGACUUGUCUAUUAAGUCCGGACCCAAAUGAUAGGUGUGAAACCUCCCCAGGACCUUGGUCUGGACCAAACCACCGGAACGUGGUCCAACUAAAAGAGGUGGUCUCAGUUCGGACAAAACUGAACCACAUUCUGGCUCGUGCCUAGUGUGAAAGCAUUUUUUGAAAGGUUCGGACCUUCGUAUAAAGACAGGAGUACAAGUAUCCGUUAUUAUGUUGAAUGGAGAUUGUCCAAUAACAGGAAAUUUUAUAAUAUUGUAUAUAAAGUUAUACCUUACUUUUGACAGCUUGUCUUGUCAAGAGGUUUAUUACACAUAGUUUUCUCCUGAGCCAGUGUUGCAAUGACUCGCAGGAUUACACACCUUUUUAGCAAGUUAUUUUAGCACUUGCCUUGUCUGAACAAAAGUAAGGACAAGGCAAGCGCUAAAAUUACCUUUGUAAAUGUAGCCAUCUUGUUUCCUCCUCUGAUUUUGCAGGCCGCUUAACCAGCAACACAUGGGUCUGCAUGCCCACUGUGCAUCAUACACUUUAAACUGUGCUUUUUAGCUUGGUAAAAAUAAUACUGUUUGAGUACAUGUUAAAUCACUUUAAAUGUUUUUUCUUGUACUUCUAUACAAGGCUUGCAUUAGUUUGGAAAUAGCUGGAGCCACAUGGACAAGCUUGUUUAAAGGAAUAAACAAAAAGCUUUGGUUUGUUCUGGGUGGGGAGUGUAUGUGUGGAAAAAAUCCCAUAUCAUUUCUUUGAUGCCGGUCGGGAGGGAAAAACAUGCACUCACUUUCAGAAUCAAAGAAGCACCUGAAUGAAAAAUGGAGCAAGACAACGUAAACAGAUCUCGUACUCAGACGUAGAUUUGGAGAGAUUCAUAACAAAUUGUCAAAGCCAUUCAUCAUUGUUCAUGCAGAAAGAUUCCUCUGAUAAUCAUUUUAGCUAUGAAUUGUCAGAAGAUAGACAUCACUGUUAUUAAUUCCUGUGAUUUAAUAAUAUUAAACUAGCUGUUUUUUAUUUUAAAAGUUAAUUUUUCUGACAAUUAAAAUCAUCUUAACACUUUUAUUGAUGGGAAAGUGGUUUGGCUUCACAGGAGAUUGAACGAAAGCUGAAUAAAGAUGAGAGUCCACUCCACAUCUAAAAUCAGGUUAAUAUAAAAGCUAACUUUUGGCAGGAGACACCAGCAAAGCUAUCUGAGAAAUUAAUUACUCUUAAAUUUAUGUUAGAUCUCCGUGUGAUGGAGUGUGAGGCCAGAGAGAGAGGAGGAGGAGGAGGGGAGGUGUGCCGUAAUAUUUAAGAGAGAAAAACUGUCACAGACAUGUUGAAAAUAUGCAACAUUUCAGCAUAAUAGCAUCAACCUUUGGGGCAAAACUUGGUCAUAUUUGCCUGUCAUGGAACAGCUCGGCUCUGCCAUGUUUAAUUUAGGUUCAGGCUUCUCUGUGCAGGGCUUGAUAAGUGAGACUAUUAAAUAAAACUCUGCUGAACAAUGAAAGAAGUUGUCAUUUAACCAAAUGAGUAGAUGGGAGUAGGCACAGAGAGUCAGGAGGUAAAUUAUGUAUUCAUGAAGGUUCUGUAGCUACUUUAUUAGCUUUAGGCGAGACCUCAGCACCGAGCCUGUAAACCAAGUUUGACAAGCCCCCAUGUGGAGCAGCAGGCACAGGGAAUAAGCCUCUCACUGCUCAUCCCCCCAUUUUACUGCCGGGAACCGUCUGGAUCACAACAACAGUGAGUGCAACAUGAAGGAGCUGAUAUGGAGAUCAGCUCACAGGGAGGUUAAGCAUUGGGCAACCGCGUUGACUCCUCCACAUAUGCGGCUUGGUGUGAGACGUGACUUUAAAGGGAAAAAUCCUAAUGGGAGUCAAACAGCAGCUCAUGUUUUCUGAUGCCAUGUUAAGUUUCAGAGUAUUUUCCCGUAUUUUGCAGCAUAAACAUGCCUUUGAGGAGGCUGUGAUGCAGAGAGGUGUCAGGAGAUGAAACACAAACUGACAGUGACUGUAAAUUUAUUUACACUCCAUUGAGCUUCAAUUAAUAUCAGUAAUUGAGACACCUUUGAAUCAAUAAAUGUAUCCCUAACUCUGUAAAUUGACUCUGAUGCACUGAAGACGUGACAUGGAAGAUAAGUGGCUGUCUUUGGAGCGUCAGCAGAUCCCGGUUACACAGAAAAUGUGCGCUUAAGUGCUCAACAGAUAAACAGCAUAAGAGAGCACUUGUCGUAUUAAAGAUGGCUGGUCAUAAUCUCUGACAUACUUAAAAGCUCAAAACCUAUUUGCUAAAUUAAACCUGCUUCUACUGUGGUCUGGUCCAAGGGGCCCGCUCGGUACAGAAACUCCGAAAGUUUGAUCAAAAAAAAGAUGACUUCAGGCAAACACAUUAAAAGAAAACCUUGGCAAGCUCUUGCUUUUUGUGCACAAUCCAUGAAAUGUGAAAAGCGAGUGAGUUUUAAUUAUGUCCGUAAAAGUCAAAAUCAAGGUCUCCCUUUAACUAAAGCUCUGGAGUUUAGAAUUAAAAUGUCAGAAUGAGUUCAAGUAUGUUAAAGCACAAUUACAGAGGUUCAAACAUGGUCAAAUUUAUUUAUUCUUUCUUAACUUUACCUUGACCUUCCAAACUACAGUAAACUAAACCUCUUUUAUAAUUUGCAACUUUCACGUUUAUUCUUUGAAGCUCCUGUGAGGACUUUUCGGUUUGUGUCAAUUUCAUAGACUGUAUAUACUACGGACACCUUGGCUCCGCCUUCUGUCAUUAUAUGAACUUGUAGUUGAAUUGUUCUUGGUAUUUCUGGGAUUUUCUCCACUUCCUGCAACCACCACUUGCGCAGUAGCGUUGUACGCAUUUGGCGGGAGAAUUGCAGAGAGUUGCUAUGAUGACACUCGGCUCAAACAGUGUAUCCCUCGGGGGAGCUAUGCAAUCUUUGUACGCCCAUAGGCUGUAUCAAAUGGCAAUCAUAGAAAACAUGAACCCUGAUUAACUUUUAAAAAUGGGGCUGCACAGAAAAAAGAGGACUUUAGGGGCCCAUGAGAGGGUGUGCCUCACCUGUCAUCGUGGAAAGAAAAAAAUGUAAAAUGAAAAACUUAAUUGAUUAUAUUUAUCUAGUGAUUUGCACUGUAAAUCAUCACCAAGUUUUUGCAUUUGCUGUUCAAAUACUGAGAAUUGACGUGCGGUGAGGCAGCAGCCAGAUGAGCCUCACCAUGGAUUGCCCAAUGACCUGGCUGACUGUACUGGCACACUUUGCAGUGAGAACAUAUAGCUAUUUCUCUGUAUGUCGUUACUAACAUGUUCAGACAUUUUGUAAUAUCAACUGAUCCACACAGUUUAGCUGAUGUAUACAACGUACAUUUUUUUUUUUUUGUCAACAAUCAUAUGUGUUUAACAUGUUUCUUGUGCUGAGCAAUCAUAGCACAGCUAGCAAAGGCGCUACGUGAGGUACACAGUUCUCCUGCCUCAUGGAAGGGGGCACUCAUGAUCCCAGUAAUUCUUCUUGCAACUCCUCGACUGCAGAGUAAGUGACACGGUAAACUACAAUCUACAGUUAGCGAGUCAAGUGCAGCCAACUGUGUAUUUUCUCCUCUCUGCUGGCCUUACUUUCAAAAUAGAGGAUUACGUAUGUAAACUCGAACAGUUUUCUCGACCGGACUUCCAAUCGGAGCAGAAGGUAAUAAUUAAAAGAAGACCAUAAAUUAUUAUCAUUUAUAAGUAAAGGUUAGACCAUAAUAACAUUUUCUUUUAAAUAUUAAAUGUACUUUUGUGUGUGCUAGUUUGUAUGUGUAAAGACAGCUGAUAUGAGAUUUUAAUUAUAACCCGUUAACUGCUGCCAAUCGAAUGGUUAAAAAGCUCCUCUG
rnacentral:lncRNA from 1 species